GACGAACGCUGGCGGCGUGCUUAACACAUGCAAGUCGAACGGAAAGGCCCUGCUUUUGUGGGGUGCUCGAGUGGCGAACGGGUGAGUAACACGUGAGUAACCUGCCCUUGACUUUGGGAUAACUUCAGGAAACUGGGGCUAAUACCGGAUAGGAGCUCCUGCUGCAUGGGGGGGGUUGGAAAGCUUCGGCGGUUGGGGAUGGACUCGCGGCUUAUCAGCUUGUGGGUGGGGUAGUGGCUUACCAAGGCUUUGACGGGUAGCCGGCCUGAGAGGGUGACCGGCCACAUUGGGACUGAGAUACGGCCCAGACUCCUCCGGGAGGCAGCAGUGGGGAAUAUUGCACAAUGGGCGGAAGCCUGAUGCAGCAACGCCGCGUGCGGGAUGACGGCCUUCGGGUUGUAAACCGCUUUCGCCUGUGACGAAGAGUGAGUGACGGUAAUGGGUAAAGAAGCACCGGCUAACUACGUG
rnacentral:rRNA from 1 species